rnacentral:misc_RNA from 1 species
GAUGAAGAACGCAGCGAAAUGCGAUAAGUAGUGUGAAUUGCAGAAGUACCGUGAAUCAUCGAAUCUUUGAACGCAAAUUGCACUCUCUGGUAUUCCGGGGAGUAUUCCUGUUUGAGGGUCGCUUAACAAACCAUCGAUUUCGUUGCUUUUUUUUUUUUAAAAAAGUGAUGUUUAUCGGAUUUGAGCCGUCUUUUUUUUUAUAUUUAAGUGGCUUAAAAUUGAUUUUUUUGGUACGAUCGAAGCGUAUUUUUAUGAUCAAUUUUUGGUUAAAGAAACGCACACGUACCGUUAUUUAUAUGAUGUAAUACGUUUGACUAUUGGAUUUAGUUCAUUCGUAUACGAUAUUUUUCAAUAUUUGACCUCAAAUCAGGUAAGAACACCCGCUGAACUUAAGCAUAUCAAUAAGCGGAGGA